CCUACGGGAGACAGCAGUCGAGAAUCAUUCACAAUGGGGGAAACCCUGAUGGUGCGACGCCGCGUGGGGGAAUGAAGGUCUUCGGAUUGUAAACCCCUGUCAUGUGGGAGCAAAUUAAAAAGAUAGUACCACAAGAGGAAGAGACGGCUAACUCUGUGCCAGCAGCCGCGGUAAUACAGAGGUCUCAAGCGUUGUUCGGAAUCACUGGGCGUAAGGCGUGCGUAGGCUGUUUCGUAAGUCGUGUGUGAAAGGCGCGGGCUCAACCCGCGGACGGCACAUGAUACCGCGAGACUAGAGUAAUGGAGGGGGAACCGGAAUUCUCGGUGUAGCAGUGAAAUGCGUAGAUAUCGAGAGGAACACUCGUGGCGAAGGCGGGUUCCUGGACAUUAACUGACGCUGAGGCACGAAGGUCAGGGGAGCGAAAGGGAUUAGAUACCCCAGUAGUC
rnacentral:rRNA from 1 species